GUCAGGCUGGACGGGGCUCUGAGCACCUGGUGGAGCUGUGGGUGUCCCUGUUCAGUGCAGGGGAGUUGCACUAGGUGACCUUUUAGGAGCCCUUCCAACUCAACCGGUUCUAUGCUUCUAUGAACUUCAGUUCCAAGCGCUGCAGAGAAAAGAAUAAUUACACCGCCACUGCUUCCCCCAGCUGCAUUGUGUCGGCACCGCACCAUGAUAAAUCCCCGUCAGGCUGAGGAAGGCCCCCUCGGCCGCACUGAUGAGAGCCCUCCAUCACCGCUGCGGGCAGGAGCCUCCGUGUGACACUGCCCGGCCCAGCGCACUGCCAGCACUGUGAUUUAGUUACCUCUUCACGGGAGAAACUAAUUCAGGAGACGGAUAGCUGGAAGGACCCUCCGUGUGAGACAUGAAUCAUUCUUUAAUCACAGCCUACGCUGGGCAAAGAGCACGGCUCCCGUCACCGGGCUGCGGCACAGCUGGGCUGUCUGCACGGGGCAGCGAUUGCUUGGAAGUGUUCGUAGAAUCGUGUGACUCAUUGAAUGGCUUAGGUCGGAGGGGACCUUAGAGGUCAUCUGGCUCCAACCCCCUGCCAUGGGCAGGGUUGCCAUCCGCUAGAUCCUGCUGCCCAGGGCCCCGUCCAACCUGGACUUGAACGCCUCCAGAGAUGGGGCACCUGCAGCCCAUUCAGACACAUCUCACUCUGCAACCCUAGUGGGCUAUGCAGGAGCAGGGGCUGUGCAGGGCUGAGGGCUGCAUGGGGCUGCAUGGCAGGCAGCAAUGAGCUGCGUGGACACAGCUCCCUGCACCAAGUUGCAGCAUGCAGGGAAUGGUCAGUGUGAUCUGCUGGUCCCCAACAGCCCAGGGACUUUCACUGCUGUUUGCUGGCAGGGACAGGGGCAGGACAGAUGGGAGCACUGCUGGCAUGUGGCUCCAUCGCCUGCGGGCAUGGAGGGCCCCGCACGCGCUCCUGCAAAGGUCACUGCUGGGCCGGUGGUGGCACGGCUCCAUCCCAGCACUGCGUGGGCUCCGCACGAUCCUGGGCAGCCGCAAUUAUGCGAGACCUUUCCAUCACAACAGAUUUACUCAAAACUCAUGCAUAAAUAUUAAUGUCCCCAAAGAUUUUGAACAACUAUUUGGCAUAAGCAGAGCAAAUAUUUAAAUAAGACUUGACUGCUGCGCGUUGCAAACAGACCGGGCAGUGCUGCACACAGAGCCGGGCACUGCAGACUCCUGUUUUGUUUGGGUGCUGGUGCUGCAGCGUGGCCUGAGCCAGGUGCAGGUCCUGCUGCAGGGACACCCAGGUGGGGUGGUUUGCUUUGCAGGGGAUGAACGAUAGCACAACCUUCUGCUCAGGAACCACAGGACCUACAUAGCCCCAGCUCAGUUCCGUGUCUCUGAACACUGUGAUUUUGAGUCUGCAAUGACCUUUGGGUGUUUUUAAGCUCAGCCUAUGGGCUUGCAAACACAAAAAUGACAAGUCAGAUGGGGAAAGCUGUAACACCUGGUACAGGCAAUGUGUGAUCAGUGCUACAGAGGGAGACGAGCUCUGUGCCGCAGGAAAUGCAGACACCUUGCAGCCCCGGGCUCCUUUCUGAUCAGGCUGUGCACUAAUGACACGAUCGAUGCUCAUUGAUUGUCUAAGGCCAUAGUAUCAGGAUGCUAUCAGCCAAAGUGCCAAUCGCACAGAGCCCCGGUGUCGGUGGCAAUCACAGUGCAGAGCACUGAUAACAAAGCUUGUCCUGUUCAUGGUGAUGAAGAGGCUCUGAAGGCUGUGCUGUGGGGGCAGCCCUUCCACCUGGUGCAGCCUUGCUCACAUAGAGCCCCCCACCCCGUCCCGACACCCCGCACCUCUCACUCCCCCUGCCAGCAGCCUGGGAAGUGGCAACGCUGCUCCUGCCAUGUUUCUGGGCACACCUGAAGCAAAACUGGAUCCAAAUACCCACAAAUGCCUGCUGGAUGUCUAAAUGACUUGUAUGGGUUGGAAAAUAGCCCCAGAUAUGUCCCUUAAAACAAGGAAAAGAUAGUGGGGGGAAAAGUGGCAAAUUGUAGCAAUACUCUGCAGAAAUGGGACGGUUUGAGGCUGCAGAUGCUGGCACUGGUACAUCUAAAAUAAAAAUAAUUGCAGGCCAUUAAAAUAAAGCAGUCUCUUCAGAUGAGAAACAAUUACGUUUUUCAAAGCAAGUGUACAUGUCUGUACACCAGGUAAUUAUCAAUUACAGGAGAUACCUGCGCAGCUAUCUUACACAAUCUCCAGUUUUCCUUUCAGGGCUAAUUGCAGCGGGCUUAAUUCAGAACUCCAACACUAAUGGCUUUGACCUUUAUGCCUGUUUCUGGGGUGCGAUAACGCUGUAAAGGCCACGCAGCACCCGUGCGCCUGUGGUUGCACUGCUCCAGGAGCUGUGCCUGCGGCUGCGCUGCACAUUGCGCCUGCUCAGAGGAGGGGUCUUCACCUGGGCAGGGUCUUUUUGACCUGUGGAUGUCAUCUUUAGUAUUAAUCAUGAAGGUAGUUCAGCUGGAGAUACAUGGAACUUGGGUUUUCUUGCCAAGCUGGCAACAUCCUCAAAGUAUCCUGACAUACGUCCUCCUCAACAUCCAUGUUAAGGGAUGCAAAGUAUUCAUUCUUCUGAUACUGAACCCAACGUUAGCUCUGUUUUUAGAGCUGGUCUUCAACCCCAGCACUGCCCCUGGCAGCAGCGCUGUCCAGGGCAGCACUGAUCCCCAGGAGAUGCGGAGCAGUGGAGUUGUCCUGAUGUGUUGCAUUUACAGUGCAGUGUGUGGCUGUCCCUGCAGCCCCCCGAGCCAGGCAGGACCGCAGCGCAGCGGGGGGGAGCUGCUCCGCAACACUCUGUCACAGCCCUGCUGUGGGCUUUGUUCCUAAGUACUUUGCUUGUUGCCAUGUGAUUUUUAAAAAUCACCUUUUAAAUCACUUUGAAAAGCAUCCAUUGAAGUCUGGCCGAGAGCAGCUUUGGGGAGCAGCGUGGCACACAGCGCUGUGAAAGCUGUAAACAGAGCGGAGUGCUCCAUUGAUUUAUGGCAUUCCAGCACUUUGUGUGUGCACAAACUGCUGGCGAGCACCGCAUGGGGGUCCUGCAGUGCACCCGCCCAGCACUGUGCUGCCCUUUCUCUGCUUCCCCUCUUCUUGGUCUGCAGAGACACAGGGAUGGGGUGGGGGGGAGAGGGGGAGGAGGGAUGCGGAGCCCCCUGGGGGAGAUGAAAAUGCCCCGGAACUGUCCCAGACCCCACUGUGAGUGCUGCAGGACCCAUGCAGCAUAGUGCUGCCCGCAGAGGAGUCAUGGCCCCACGGACACAGCAUUGGCAUCACCUCCAAGACAGCUCCAUGAGGCUCAGUGAGACUUCUCCUCCACUCGCUCCUCAAAGCAGUUCUGAUCUCCAUGUUCAAGAGGCGCAAGUCCCGGCCAAAUCCUGUUUUUGAAGCCUCUCAUUUCCCUCUGUCUACAAGGAGGAUGAUUCCCUCUUGCCUAAUUAAAGCCUCAUUUCCAUCAGGGAGCUCUGAGUUAGCUGAGUUAGCUGGGGGUGUCGUCCUCCUACAGCUCUGCUUAUGGAGUGGGGGAAAAGCACUGGGGCUGCCCCCAAGAGAUCAGGGGUGCCCUGGUGCCAGCAGUGCCACGGGGGAUGUAGGGCUCUGCCUCCAGCUACUGGGGAGCAGAGUGGGGCUGGGAGGAGUGGGAAGCCAGACAGAUGUCAGAAGGAAGUGAGCAAGAAACUCCCAAAGGUAAAUGGAUUUCAAUCACACCCUUAAUGCUGUCAUUAACAUUGAAUGUUUUCGUCAUAAACGAGCUUCAAAGUUCUUUAAUCUCCAAUACAAAUCGUCCUUAUUGCUUGCAGAUGGUGAAAACUUAUUCAUUCUGGGACCAGUGCUCAGCCCUCCCCUUCAGGCUGGUGGUUGCUCCCUUCCCCUCCCUUGGUCUGCGUUACACUUGUGAGCUUUAAUAUUUAAUUGGUGUUUUUUGCUGUUUUCAUCCCCUGGCACUUGCUGCAGCUGCGAGCUGGAAGCCAGCAGCCUGUCACAUAGCAGGGCAGGCUGGGGGGCAGAUCCUCAUGUCUGUACCAUUCGCUUGUUAGUGCCACAUUGGCCCUCCCUGGCACCCUGGGCUGUCUCUGUUACUCAGUAUUUACAGUCUCCUCUUUCCCCAGUCCCUGUGCACCUUGGGGGCCCAAGCGCCCACACCUACCGGAGCAGGCCCAGCACAGGGUAGUGACGUGAGCACCCUGGGGCAGGGGAAGCUGCAGGACCAUGUGCACUGCUGCACAGCUCUCGGUGCCUGUACCAUGCAGCAGGCAUUGUGCCUCAUGUUGUCUAGGCAAAGGUUUCCAUGACACUAAAUAUAGUGAAAUAUGAUUUUGCACAGCUGGAUUCUGCCUUAGAUGCAGGUUAGGGACAAGAAAAGUGCAUCCCGCAGAGAUUUGUAUGUACAAGGGCUGUGAUACGGGAUGGCAACAAGCAGAAAAACACCAAUUGUUAGCAGUUAUUCAUCUGCCUCUCAACCAGACAUUAAUUCCCAAAGCCACAUCCUGUCAGUUGCUCUCACCUAAUGCAUGUGCUACACAGAUGGAUGGCAUUCAGGCAAUACAAUGUGAGGCCAAAGGGGAUGACAUCCACACGGAUCCACAAUGGAUGAGCCCCAUCCAUUGCUUCUUGGCAGCAGGGCCGUUCUCUGGGCAGCAGUGAGGUGUGGGUGGCACACACUGGGCAACUCUGCAGGGCAGUGAGCACCAGGCAGAGCUCCAUGUGCUCUGGGUGUGCUAGGGGCAGCUGGUGCCUUGCUCACCUCUACUGAUCAGCUCCUCUGCUGGUGUGGGAUUUCAUCUAGAUACCUUUAAGGUGCAGCAUCUGGAGGAUCAUCUCAGUGAAGCUGGUAGGGGAGCUUUGCCUGUUUUUUUUUAAGAGGCUUAAUUAAAUGUUUGGGAUAUCAGCUAUACAAUGUUAAUUGGUGGUAAUGUGGAUGUUGUCUAAAUUCUAGAGGCUCCAUUAGAAAUAAUUAAAAUCCAUUCUCAUUUGUUCUUGCAAACAAAAUACUCUCUGCUUCCCCAGCCCUUGUCCUCUAUCCACAGCCAGGGCCAUGCACAGGGGAGGGCCACCAAGAGCAGAGGAUGGGUGGGCAGCAAGUGGGGCCUUCAACCUCCAAUGCAAUGCUCACUGCAUGUGAUUCCUGCAGAAUUGUAAUGCAGAAAGUGAAGAGAUGAGUGCACGGUGAUGGCACGAGCCGUCCGAACGCAGCCGUGAGCAUUGCCCAGCGCCUGCACCACGCGAUUACGCAGGCAAUGGCCUUGCAAAUUAGCCAUGAAAUUGGGACCCUGAGAGGAGCUUUGAAAUUGGGAAUUUGGGGGAGAGUUUGUAAAAUAUUUAAAAGGCAGAAGCAGCACAAAGCCUCAAUUUUAAUUAUUGCCAUUUUGAUCAGCAGAGUAGGUUUUUUCUGCCUUGAACUGUAAAGUAAUUGGAAAUGUGAAUGGAGUGUGAUUAUGGUGCAAAUUACAGAGCGGGAGGAGCAGCGGUGGGCAGACACGUGGAGUGCAGGGGCACCUGCUGGGUGGGACAGCCCUGUGCUGGGGAAGUGGGGUGACAGGGGGGGUGUCCCUGCCCUGACAUCCAGUGACAGCGUGCGUUGAGUCAAUGGAAAAAACGAAAUCCAGAUUUUUGUUCGUGUUCCACGCACGUAGUUGAAAUGAACCUUCGUCUGCAGCAAUUCUGAGCUAAUGAAAAACGAAUGAGGUUUUAAAUCAACCCCAAAAGGCAGAGCUUGCUGCCAUUGUGUUGCACUGCUGUAGGACAGCCUCCUUUUCCAAGGCUCCUCACAGAACCCUGAGUAAUUUCAUUAGGUUGUGAGCAAGGCUGCUGCCAAAACAUCUAUUACCUCAGCCCUGCUCAUAUCAAAAUGAGAGGGAGACGAAGGGGCAGUGGCAGGGCUGUGCUGGUGGCACACAUGGCCGCUGCCUUCUCUGCUCCUCCCUAAGUUUCAGAGGGUGGAGGUUUAUUUUGUGGUGCUCACACAUCACUCAUCUGUUGGGAGCCACCAGCCCUGCCUGAUCGCUUCUCAUGGAGGGGUCCCUCCUUACGGUCUUUAAAUCAUGUUUGAACACGACAUAAUUCUACCAUGUGCCAGGUGACUUCUCUAUAUUUGAUCAGUUCAGAUUCCAUAAAAAUGUAAAUAAUCAAAGCCCUUCUGCUGUUAUUUAUAACAGCUCACUCCAGGCUGUAAUUUAUGUAUUAAUUUCAGCUGCAAGUUUCUGAAGGGAGGGAGAAAAAAAAAAAGAUAAAUAACAGGAUGUGUGCCUACCCCUGGGCCCAGCUGGGCCACGGGCUGGGGGCUGUGGGUGGGGGGCUCCAGGGAACCUGAGAAGGAGGGCAGUACCACCACUUGUAUGGUGUACGUUGGCAGAGGGCUCACUUAUCCCUGUGUUCUCUCUGAUGUGUACAUGGAAUCAUAGCAUCAUAGAACCAUUAAAGUUGGACAAGACCUCUGAGAUCACCAAGUCCAACUGUCAGCCCAUCCCCACCAUGCCCACCAAACCAUGUCCCUCAGUGCCACAUCUCUGUGGUUCUUGAACAUCUAUCUCCAGAGAUUCUUGACACCCCCAGAAGGUGGCACAGUGGGGGUUUGGCAGGGCACAGAGGCACCAUGGGGACACAGCAGGGCCAUGGGUCUGCCCGGCACAACAGGAGCUGGCUGCAGCAUGGACACGGCAGCAACCCUUCAGCCCUCACCAUCAGCUGCCUGUUAGUGCCGUAUCUGAUCCAGACGCAGCACAUGUGCAUUUCUCUGGGAAUAAGCUUCUGCUUGACACAGUCUGUGAUUGCUUUUUUAAAACCGUGCGGGGAGGAUCAGUUCCUUCAUCCACUGAUAAGGUAUCAGGUGACAGAGGGAUCAGCAUCCACCACAUAAAUCUGCAACUAAUCCUUCAGAAUCAAUAUUUUUCAUUAAGAACCUGUGAGAGUUGGGCCAUUAUAGGGAAAAAUCUGUUUAGGUUGACACCUUGAUGAAGUUAUUCAGUUCAGGGACUUAAGUCAUUGAAAGGUAAUAAAGAGCAAAGAGCACAGAAAGAUCGAGGCACGGGUUAUGAGAGCUUGCAGUGGGAACAGGGGUUUUAUUGCAGUGAGAAAUUAUCAUACUGAUUUAUGGUGGAAUUAUGAGAAAUUUAAAAGGGUGCCAGCACUGCCCAGAUGUUCCUCUGGGCUGGAGCUGCUGCCCAGAUGUUCCUCCAGUGCUGCACACUCCCUCCCCUUCCACAGCACUGUGAUAUGCUGCAGGUCAGCUCUGUGCCUGCGCUGGCAACCAGGAGAGCACCCACUGCCAAACGGUGCUGUGGGUGGUGGGGAGCAGACCCAGAACACCUGAUGUCCCAGGAGCUCGGGGUUCUGCUCAAGCACCCGAGCUCCAGGGGACACCUCAGGACCAGCAGCACCACAGCAGUGCCCAGGGACUCAGAGGCUGCACUGUGCCUUGCGUUGCGGUGCCCAUCACAUCGUGGUGCUCCUUGUGUCACUGCAUUCCUUGUGUCAGCAUGCUCCUCACACCACCGUGCUCCUCCUGUCACCAUGUUCCUCGUGACACGUGUCACCACGCUCCUACCAUCACCACGCCCCACAUAUUACCCUGUUCCUUGUGUCACCACGCUCAUCAGGUCACCGUUCUCCUCACAUCACCAUGCCUCUCGCAUCACCACGUUCCUUGUGUCACCGUGCUCCUGUUGUCACUCUGCUGUUCGCAGGGCUCCUAAUCCCUGGAUGAGCUUCCCGACUACGAGUGUCCGUGCUCACGUCCCCGGACGGGGUGCGGGAGCUGUCCGCGGGCCGUGGUGCUGACGGCCGCUGGGCGCCGCCGCGGUGCGCACGGAGCACGGCGGGGCCGCUGCGAGCUGCUGCCUGCCGCUCUUCAGAUCCCCGGCUUUAAUAAUUGAAGAAAGCAAACGCGGUGCUGAAGUUUUCUUUGUAGGUUAACCAAGGUUAAUUGUACGAGCUGAAAAUGAAAAUGUCUGGCCCAUAAAUCCCUAAACCUCAUUAAAGAGGAUUAAAUGAUA